AUAAAUUCCAGAUGAAAAAAUCCUAAAAAAUAAAAAAUGCAAGUAAAAUCAAGCCAAAGCAAACAGCAAAAUCCCAUAACAAAAUGGUGCAGCAUAAUAAUCCAUGCAAUCAAUAAAAUUUUCACUUGAACCCCUCCCCAAAAAUAAAAAAGCAACUAAGCAGAAAAAUCAAUUAAAACACAAAAAUAAAUAUCAAAAGCCAAAAGCUAAGAAAAUAGAGAAAUCAAAGAGCAAAGAAAUCAGAAACGAUCUUCAAAAGAGAAAGCGCAGUAAUCAAUCAACACAAUGCGAUAAAAUAAAACAAAAGAAAGCAACCAAAGCAACAAGGAUUCCAUUAG
rnacentral:misc_RNA from 1 species